GCUCCUUGGUGAUUCAUAAUAACUAAACGAAUCGCAUGGCCUUGCGCCGGCGAUGGUUCAUUCAAAUUUCUGCCCUAUCAACUUUCGAUGGUAAGAUAGAGGCUUACCAUGGUCUUAACGGGUAACGGGGAAUUAGGGUUCUAUUCCGGAGAGGGAGCCUGAGAAACGGCUACCACAUCCAAGGAAGGCAGCAGGCGCGCAAAUUACCCAAUGCUAAUUCAGCGAGGUAGUGACAAUAAAUACUGAUACGGGGCUCUUUCGGGUCUCGUAAUUGGAAUGAGUACAAUCUAAAUCCCUUAACGAGGAACAAUUGGAGGGCAAGUCUGGUGCCAGCAGCCGCGGUAAUUCCAGCUCCAAUAGCGUAUAUUAAAGUUGUUGCCGUUAAAAAGCUCGUAGUUGAACCUUGGACCUGGCUGAUCUGUCCUCCUAAUCGAGCGCACGGAUUCGGUCGGGUCUUUCCUUCUGGGGAGCCCUAUGCCCUUCACUGGGUGUAGUGGGGAACCAGGACUUUUACCUUGAAAAAAUUAGAGUGUUCAAAGCAGGCCUUUGCUCGAAUACAUUAGCAUGGAAUAAUAGAAUAGGACAUCGGUUCUAUUUUGUUGGUUUCUAGGACCGCUGUAAUGAUUAAUAGGGAUAGUCGGGGGCGUCAGUAUUCAAUUGUCAGAGGUGAAAUUCUUGGAUUUAUUGAAGACUAACUACUGCGAAAGCAUUCGCCAAGGAUGUUUUCAUUAAUCAGUGAACGAAAGUUAGGGGAUCGAAGACGAUCAGAUACCGUCGUAGUCUUAACCAUAAACUAUGCCGACUAGGGAUCGGACGGUGGUUUUUUUAUGCCCCGUUCGGCACCUUACGAGAAAUCAAAGUUUUUGGGCUCGGGGGGGAG
rnacentral:rRNA from 1 species